ensembl:lncRNA
UACGUUACACAUUUUGAGUUUGUAUUAGGCACUUUAGAGCCCCCUGCAGGCCAUUACUUGUAUUCAGUUCUUUCGUAGAUUCUUAAUAUUGCGUUCAUUCUCAUUGGCUGAUAAGAGUCACGUUGUUAGUCACGUGAUUUCAGACGUGAUCUGUCAUUAUUUCGGCAGCCAUUUUGAUCUGUCAUUUGAGCCAGAGAUCCACACGGUGAAACAUCUUUUUUAUCUCACGUCAUUCAUCCGUGUAAGCCUUGGAGAAGCUUUGUUUUUUCACACUUCUAAACCUGCAACAACUUGUUCAACAACAAUCAAUAAAUGGACAUUCAAGUGGAUGUCGACAACAUCCUCUACGGACUUUCAUCAUUGAUCCUGUCUUCAAGUUUUGUUGGGGAAAAGUGUUUAGCUGUCUGGUGAUGUGUGCAUCGCUACGUGCUCAGGUGCCAGAACAACGGUUGAUUACUAUUAUGCAGGGGGAAAAAGACAAAGAAAGAGAUGAUAAACGUGUAUUUAUUUGGAUAUAUUAUUUAACUGAUCUGAUUCAUUCAUUCAUUCAUAUAUGCCUA